CCUCACUCUGCAGCUGACUACUUCAGAUGUUCAUUUGACCAUCUAAUUAAAACAGCAUUUCAAUUUCUCCCAGAGACAUACUAUCAGUUACAAGAUACCUGGAAAUAAUUUGACUUGAUGUUUAUACAAGACAACUAAAUAAGCAGACUGUCACAGACCUCAGGAAGGGAACAUGAAGCAUUACCUGAUCCAGCCUUUCAUGGGAAAGGGAGCCUAGAUGACAUUGUCUGGAAUCCUGUAGCAUUGCAUCUUGGAAAAAGCCUCCUAUGAUAAGGACUCUAAUGCAUCCCUGCAGAGAUUGUUCCAGUGACCAGUUGGUCUCACUGGAAACAUUUCUUCCUUAUGCCAAGAUGAAACCUUUCCUGGUGUAACUUGAACCCAUUGCCCUGGUCUUCUCCAUGAGACUCCCAGUGAAAAGAGAGACUGUCAUUUUUUCAGCUGCUCUUUAAGUACUGGAAUACCACAAUGAGGUCUCUCCUAUGUCUUCUCUUCUCCAGGGUGAAAAGACCUAAUUCCCUAAAUCAUUCCCAACAGGACAGGUUCUCCAGACUUUUGAUCAUUUUCCUGGCCCUUCCUUGGACUUUCUCCAGACUGUCUGCAUCUUUCUUGAAUGUUUGCCUAGGAGAAAACUGUGGGAAACCGUGUGAAAUGCUUUGCUGAACUCCAGGAAAACAACAACCAGUGCUCUCCCCAUGUCGACAGAAGAUGUUAUGCUGUUGUAGAAGAUACUCAGGUUGAUCUGGCGUGAUUCACCUUUGAUAACCUCAAGAAGACCACUAGUAUCACUUUGCUAGAAAUUAGCAGGAACAAGGAGUAUUUCUUUCACCAUUCAACAAACAGCAAAUUGGCAAAUUGUUUCACCUAACACUGGUGGAAAUGAGAGCAGAAGGGAGAGCAACGAGUGAGGAAGCCAUUUGAGUGAGAUCCAUUCCUAGUUUUAUCAGGUCAGCCACAAGUGUCUGGGACAAAGACCCAAUUCUCAAUGUUACUAAAGCAUGUCACUAAAUUGUAUGAUAAACUUCAGUACAUCAAAAUCCAUACCUUCAGAUGCAGAGUCUUGCAUGGGAAACAGUAGAGAUGCAGACUCUCCCACAAAUAAUGGCCAAAUAUGCUUUGCACAAGUGCUUUGAAAAUCUGAAAACCUUAAAAUGUAAGUAGAAUAAUAAACUGUGUGUUGGGUGCUUGCCUCUUGGUCUAAAUGUCUAACAUAUGCUUCUAGAAAUAUUGGGAUCAGUGCUUGUUCUCAGGACCAGUUGAAAUGGAAAGUUCCUUUUGGCUGCCUUACUGAUGCAUAUUUGUAAGAAAAUUACAUGUUAAGUGACUAAUGUAGUAGUCCUUAGCAAUUAUAAGAUUACAGGAAAAAGGAAUUCUACAGGGAAUAGUGUGACUCGUGCAGCAACAGGUAUAUGCAUAUACCUCAGAGUUCAUUAAAUCCAGUGUGAUGAUUCAUGAGUAGAAAGUUUCUGGUGUUUGAACUUAAGAGCUGAGAAAGUUCACUGAAUUAUUUUUAAUUGAUUAAAUUAUUAUUAAUUAAACUUAACCCCUGGACUCUGCAUUUAAUAAGCAACACAAAGCCUGAAAGGUGUAAUUUACAGUUGUUCAAGAAAACUGUUUUAAGUGAUUUACAGUUACUUAAAAUAUAUCCAUGGAUAACUGUAACAAGUUUUAGGCAGUUGCAUCCUAGACUGUUUUUUUUUUCCCUGUGAUCACAGCACCAUCUCUUCAGUUUCUUAGCUAGACUUCCAAAGAUUUCACUGACAACACGAUUGUUCUAAAUAUACCCCUGGCAUUCUGCUCUGAGUCUGGAAUUUGAAUUUAAAAUUGACCUGCUUUAUCUAUUUGAGAAGUCUCAUAAGAUGAUUCCCGCCUUGUGUGGAAAUAAGGAAAUGGAAAAAAAUGGAAAUAUAAUCUGAUCCCAUUUUUAGUUUGAGGAUACCCAAGCUUAUUGCCUGCAGAUGAACAUGUUUGAACUGCUAGGGAUUUUUUUUUCCCUGAUAAGCUAAUUUAUUUUUCAAUAGAGUUCAGCUGUUCCCUGCCUUGUAAAGGAUGAAGGAUUUAUUGUUUCUCAUGUACAUUGCAUCAUUUCUGGUAGAAGGCUGGGCUUGAUCACCUAAGUGGAUUUUUCCAGCCCUGUGUUUCUAUGGUAGGAUUUUUCAAUGGCAUUACAUCCGAGUCUUUGUUUCUUCAUCCUGUGUGACAAUCCAGUGAACAUUAUUCCAUAAGUUAUGUUGAAGAGGACUUGAAAUUUCCAAGUUUCAGACCAGUUUCAGCCCAGGGUCCAGUUUCAAAGCUUUCUGACAUACAUAGAUUUGAAUGCCAAACUAUACUAGAUCUUUCUUUUAACCUAUAUAAUAUUUUCAAAGCAGUAACGUAUUAUAAAACACUGCUAAUAAGUAUUUUUGUG